rnacentral:rRNA from 1 species
GACGAACGCUGGCGGCGUGCUUAACACAUGCAAGUCGAACGCGCCUAUCCUCUGGGUUUCUGGGGGGUGGGUGAGUGGCGAACGGGUGAGUAACACGUGAGUAACCUGCCCCCUUCUUCGGGAUAACGGUCUGAAAGGGCUGCUAAUACCGGGUAUUCACUGGUCUCCGCAUGGGGUCUGGUGGAAAGGUUUUUUUCUGGUGGGGGAUGGGCUCGCGGCCUAUCAGCUUGUUGGUGGGGUGAUGGCCCACCAAGGCUUUGACGGGUAGCCGGCCUGAGAGGGUGACCGGUCACAUUGGGACUGAGAUACGGCCCAGACUCCUACGGGAGGCAGCAGUGGGGAAUAUUGCACAAUGGGCGCAAGCCUGAUGCAGCGACGCCGCGUGAGGGAUGGAGGCCUUCGGGUUGUGAACCUCUUUCGCCCGUGGUCAAGCCGCGACGUGGGUCGUGGUGAGGGUAGUGGGUAAAGAAGCGCCGGCUAACUACGUG